rnacentral:rRNA from 1 species
UCAGAUUGAACGCUGGCGGCAGGCCUAACACAUGCAAGUCGAGCGGUAACAGAUCUAGCUUGCUAGAUGCUGACGAGCGGCGGACGGGUGAGUAACGCGUAGGAAUUUGCCUAGUAGUGGGGGAUAGCCCAGAGAAAUUUGGAUUAAUACCGCAUACACUCUACGGAGAAAAGCAGGGGAUCUUCGGACCUUGCGCUAUUGGAGAAGCCUGCGUCGGAUUAGCUAGUUGGUGGGGUAAAGGCCCACCAAGGCGACGAUCCGUAGCUGGUCUGAGAGGAUGAUCAGCCACACUGGGACUGAGACACGGCCCAGACUCCUACGGGAGGCAGCAGUGGGGAAUAUUGGACAAUGGGGGCAACCCUGAUCCAGCCAUGCCGCGUGUGUGAAGAAGGCCUUAGGGUUGUAAAGCACUUUCAGCGAGGAGGAAAGGUUGACGUUUAAUACGCGUCAGCUGUGACGUUACUCGCAGAAGAAGGACCGGCUAACUCCGUGCCAGCAGCCGCGGUAAUACGGAGGGUCCGAGCGUUAAUCGGAAUUACUGGGCGUAAAGCGCGCGUAGGCGGUUAGAUCAGUCAGAUGUGAAAGCCCCGGGCUCAACCUGGGAACUGCAUUUGGAACUGGCAGGCUAGAGUACGGUAGAGGGUGGUAGAAUUUCCUGUGUAGCGGUGAAAUGCGUAGAUAUAGGAAGGAAUACCAGUGGCGAAGGCGCCCACCUGGACUGAUACUGACGCUGAGGUGCGAAAGCGCGGGGAGCGAACAGGUUUAGAUACCCUGGUAGUCCACGCCGUAAACGAUGUCAACUAGCCGUAGGGAUCCUUGAGGUCUUUGUGGCGACAGCUAACGCAAUAAGUUGACCGCCUGGGGAGUACGGCCGCAAGGUUAAAACUCAAAUGAAUUGACGGGGGCCCGCACAAGCGGUGGAGCAUGUGGUUUAAUUCGAAGCAACGCGAAGAACCUUACCUGGUCUUGACAUCCUGCGGACUUACUAGAGAUAGUUUGGUGCCUUCGGGAACUCUGAGACAGGUGCUGCAUGGCUGACGUCAGCUCGUGUCGUGAGAUGUUGGGUUAAGUCCCGUAACGAGCGCAACCCUUGUCCUUAGUUGCUAACAGGUUAAGCUGAGAACUCUAAGGAGACUGCCGGUGACAAACCGGAGGAAGGCGGGGACGACGUCAAGUCAUCAUGGCCCUUAUGGGCAGGGCUACACACGUGCUACAAUGGGCGGUACAAAGGGUUGCCAAGCAGCGAUGUGGAGCUAAUCCCAUAAAAUUUCUCGUAGUCCGGAUCGGAGUCUGCAACUCGACUCCGUGAAGUCGGAAUCGCUAGUAAUCGUGAAUCAGAAUGUCACGGUGAAUACGUUCCCGGGCCUUGUACACACCGCCCGUCACAACAUGGGAGUGGGUUGCACCAGAAGUAGCUAGUCUAACCUUCGGGAGGGCGGUUACCACGGUGUGAUUCAUGACUGGGGUG